rnacentral:tRNA from 1 species
GGGGCUGUAGCUCAGUUGGGAGAGUGCUUGCCUUGCAUGCACAAGGCCCUGGGUUCAAUCCCCGGCACCA